rnacentral:rRNA from 1 species
UGGGGAAUCUUGCACAAUGGGGGAAACCCUGAUGCAGCGACGCCGCGUGAGCGAUGAAGCCCUUCGGGGUGUAAAGCUCUUUCGGCAGGGAAGAUUAUGACGGUACCUGCAGAAGCAGCUGCGGCUAACUACGUGCCAGCAGCCGCGGUAAUACGUAGGCAGCAAGCGUUGUUCGGAGUUACUGGGCGUAAAGGGUGUGUAGGCGGCCUGUUAAGUUCCGUGUGAAAUCUCCCGGCUCAACCGGGAGGGUGCGCGGAAAACUGGCGGGCUAGAGUGCGGGAUGGGAGAGUAGAAUUCCUGGUGUAGCGGUGAAAUGCGUAGAUAUCAGGAGGAAUACCGGUGGUGUAGACGGCUCUCUGGACCGCAACUGACGCUGAAACACGAAAGCGUGGGUAGCAAACAGGAUUAGAUACCCCCGUAGUCC